rnacentral:lncRNA from 1 species
AGUUAUAAGAAUAGCGAAGGAUUUAGGCUUGUGCUUUUUUUGUUUCUUCUUCCAUUUGACGUAGGUAUGUGACUAAAAAUCUUAAAUUACGUGGAUUACUCUGAUCUUUAUAUCACUGGAAAAGGCUGAAAGAGACUGUAAAUGACCUAGAUUCAGCCCAUCGCCUUUUUAUUUUGUAAUUCUAAUUUCUUUUUGUAUAAUGUGGUUGGGACUUUUAUUUUGAAGGAAUGUAAAGACGCGCUAACCGGAAGUCAUCAGUGAAGCGAACGUGAAGGCUGCAUGUGCUUCGUGUCUGCCAAAACGAUUAUAAAAACAAAGUUAAAGGUUUAAAAAAGUAAAGUUUAUGAUUUUCUUAUAGCACCUGGUUGACAAGGGAACAAGCUCUUACGGUGUGUUCACACAUACAAGGCUGAAUAAAAGGAUUGUGAACCAUCAGUUUGAGAGACCAUCUUUUCAACCGGGGAUGCUACAGAGACCAUUCCAAAGGGGAGUCUACAUUCCAGCGAAUUUAUGCCGUGAACUGAAGUAGACCAACCAAACUGUGAAAAGCGUCUUGGAUUUCAUCAGGUAAACUGAAUGUUUAAA